ACGGGAGGCAGCAGUGAGGAAUAUUGGUCAAUGGGCGGGAGCCUGAACCAGCCAAGUAGCGUGAGGGAUGACUGCCCUAUGGGUUGUAAACCUCUUUUGUUUGGGAAUAAAGUGGGCUACGCGUAGCCCUUUGCAUGUACCAUUCGAAUAAGCAUCGGCUAAUUCCGUGCCAGCAGCCGCGGUAAUACGGAAGAUGCGAGCGUUAUCCGGAUUUAUUGGGUUUAAAGGGAGCGUAGGCGGACUGUUAAGUCUGCGGUCAAAUGUCAGGGCCCAACCUUGGCAUGCCGUGGAAACUGGCGGUCUUGAAUACACUCAAGGUAAGUGGAAUUCGUCGUGUAGCGGUGAAAUGCUUAGAUAUGACGAAGAACUCCGAUUGCGAAGGCAGCUUACUGGGGUGCGAUUGACGCUGAGGCUCGAAAGUGCGGGAAUCAAACAGGAUUAGAUACCCUGGUA
rnacentral:rRNA from 1 species